rnacentral:rRNA from 1 species
GACGAACGCUGGCGGCGUGCUUAACACAUGCAAGUCGAACGAAGUGGCGAACGGGUGAGUAAUACGUGGGUAAACGGCGCUAAUUUUUGGGAUAAGGCUUGGAAACAGGGUGUAAUACCGACUAAAGGGGGGUGGGAUGGCGGCCUAUCAGCUUGUUGGGGGGGUGAUGGCUUACCAAGGCAGGGACGGGUAGCCGGACGGAGAGGGUGACCGGCCCCAUGGGGACUGCGAUACGGCCCAGACUCCUACGUGAGGCAGCAGGGGGGAAUAUUGCACAAUGGGCGCAAGCCUGAUGCAGCCAUGCCGCGUGGUUGAAGAAGGCCUUCUGGUUGUAAAGCACUUUCAGCGGGGAGACGUUACCCGCAGAAGAAGCACCGGCUAACUCCGUGCCAGCAGCCGCGGUAAUAC